UACGUAGGGGGCAAGCGUUGUCCGGAUUUAUUGGGCGUAAAGAGCGUGUAGGCGGCCUGGAAGGUCCGUUGUGAAAACUCGAGGCUCAACCUCGAGACGCCGAUGGAAACCACCUGGCUAGAGUCCGGAAGAGGAGAGUGGAAUUCCUGGUGUAGCGGUGAAAUGCGCAGAUAUCAGGAAGAACACCCGUGGCUAAGGCGGCUCUCUAGUACGGUACUGAAGCUGAGACGCGAAAGCGUGGGGAGCGAACAGG
rnacentral:rRNA from 1 species